AGUGACACCAGCUUGAAGCAGCUCUCAGCAUUUGAAUGAGUAAGUGAAGCUCAGGGAGCUAUUUUCACCCCCUUCUACCACACCCAAUGUCCACUGUUCAUCAUUUCGACAUGCAGUCAGCUCCGGAAUACCACGUGGUUGGGACUGGGGAGUGAAUACAGCAGCGAGGACAGGAUGGAAUGUAGCCUUGGUCCUCAGCUGUCAGAAUGGCCAUCAACAAUUGUCCAUACAGGGACCACAGAGGUCACAACACC